rnacentral:rRNA from 1 species
ACGAACGCUGGCGGCGUGCCUAAUACAUGCAAGUCGAGCGGACCUUCGGGGUCAGCGGCGGACGGGUGAGUAACACGUGGGUAAUCUGCCCAACUGACUGGAAUAACGCCUGGAAACGGGUGCUAAUGCCGGAUAGGCAACUGGUAGGCAUCUACCGGUUGGGAAAGGUGCAACUGCACCGCAGAUGGAGGAGCCCGCGGCGCAUUAGCUAGUUGGUGGGGUAACGGCCUACCAAGGCGACGAUGCGUAGCCGACCUGAGAGGGUGGACGGCCACACUGGGACUGAGACACGGCCCAGACUCCUACGGGAGGCAGCAGUAGGGAAUCUUCCGCAAUGGGCGCAAGCCUGACGGAGCAACGCCGCGUGAGCGAAGAAGGCCUUCGGGUUGUAAAGCUCAGUCACUCGGGAAGAGNGGACAGGGAGUGGAAAGCCCUGUCGAGACGGUACCGAGAGAGGAAGCCCCGGCUAACUACGUG